rnacentral:rRNA from 1 species
AACGAACGCUGGCGGCAUGCCUAACACAUGCAAGUCGAACGAGACCUUCGGGUCUAGUGGCGCAUGGGUGCGUAACGCGUGGGAACCUGCCCUUAGGUUCGGAAUAACUCCCCGAAAGGGGUGCUAAUACCGGAUAAUGUCUUCGGACCAAAGAUUUAUCGCCUUUGGAUGGGCCCGCGUUGGAUUAGCUAGUUGGUAGGGUAAAAGCCUGCCAAGGCGACGAUCCAUAGCUGGUCUGAGAGGAUGAUCAGCCACACUGGGACUGAGACACGGCCCAGACUCCUACGGGAGGCAGCAGUGGGGAAUAUUGGACAAUGGGCGAAAGCCUGAUCCAGCAAUGCCGCGUGAGUGAUGAAGGCCUUAGGGUUGUAAAGCUCUUUUACCCGGGAUGAUAAUGACAGUACCGGGAGAAUAAGCUCCGGCUAACUCCGUG